rnacentral:rRNA from 1 species
GUAGGGAAUAUUGCGCAAUGGACGAAAGUCUGACGCAGCGACGCCGCGUGAGUGAUGAAGGCCUUAGGGUCGUAAAGCUCUGUUGAAUGGGAAGAAAAAAAUGACGGUACCAUUCGAGGAAGGACCGGCUAACUUCGUGCCAGCAGCCGCGGUAAUAGGAGGGGUCCUAGCGUUGUUCGGAAUCAUUGGGCGUAAAGGGUGUGUAGGUGGCCAUGUAAGUCAGGUGUGAAAGCCCCGGGCUCAAACCGGGAAGUGCACUUGAUACUGCGUGGCUUGAGUACCGGAGAGGGUAGUGGAAUUCCAGGUGUAGGGGUGAAAUACGUAGAUAUCUGGAGGAACACCGGUGGCGAAGGCGGCUACCUGGUCGAGUACUGACACUGAGACACGAAAGCAUGGGGAUCAAACAGGAUUAGAUACCCGAGUAGUCC